rnacentral:rRNA from 1 species
GAUGAACGCUAGCUACAGGCUUAACACAUGCAAGUCGAGGGGAAAUGACAUCGAAAGCUUGCUUUUGAUGGGCGUCGACCGGCGCACGGGUGAGUAACGCGUAUCCAACCUGCCCAUCACUUGGGGAUAACCUUGCGAAAGUAAGACUAAUACCCAAUGAUAUCUCUAGAAGACAUCUGAAAGAGAUUAAAGAUUUAUCGGUGAUGGAUGGGGAUGCGUCUGAUUAGCUUGUUGGCGGGGUAACGGCCCACCAAGGCAACGAUCAGUAGGGGUUCUGAGAGGAAGGGCCCCCAAAAUGGAACUGAGAACCGGUCCAAACUCCUACGGGAGGAAGCAGGGAGGAAAAUUGGGCAAUGGGCGAGGGCCUGAACCAGCCAAGUAGCGUGCAGGAAGACGGGCCUAUGGGUUGUAAACUGCUUUUAUAAGGGAAUAAAGUGAGAGUCGUGACUCUUUUUGUAUGGACCUUAUGAAUAAGGACCGGCUAAUUCCGUG